UCCCUCGUGGCUCAGAGGGUAAAGCGUCUGCCUGCAAUGCAGGAGACCCUGGGUUCAAUCCCUGGAUCGGGAA
rnacentral:tRNA from 1 species